rnacentral:rRNA from 1 species
UACAGGGGGUGCAAACGUUGCUCGGAAUCAUUGGGCGUAAAGAGCUCGUAGGCGGUCUGUCGCGUCGGCUGUGAAAUCCCGAGGCUCAACCUCGGGUCUGCAGUCGAUACGGGCAAACUAGAGUAUUGCAGGGGAGACUGGAAUUCCUGGUGUAGCGGUGAAAUGCGCAGAUAUCAGGAGGAACACCGGUGGCGAAGGCGGGUCUCUGGGCAAUAACUGACGCUGAGGAGCGAAAGCGUGGGGAGCGAACAGG